rnacentral:tRNA from 1 species
UGGGCCAUCGCCAAGCGGUAAGGCAACGGACUUUGACUCCGUCAUUGCGCUGGUUCGAAUCCAGCUGGCCCAACCA